AAAGUUCCCUUCGGGGGGCGAGUAGAGUGGCGUCCGGGUGAGUAACACGUAGGUAAUCUACCUUUGGGUGGGGAAUAACAAUCGGAAACGGUUGCUAAUACCGCAUAAUGCAGCGGCACCGCAUGGUGACAGUUGUUAAAGCGGGGGAUCGCAAGACCUCGCGCCUAAAGAGGAGCCUGUGGCGGAUUAGCUAGUUGGCAGGGUAAUGGCCUACCAAGGCAACGAUCCGUAGCCGGCCUGAGAGGGCGGUCGGCCACACUGACACUGAAAUACGGGUCAGACUCCUACGGGAGGCAGCAGUCGGGAAUUUUGGGCAAUGGGCGCAAGCCUGACCCAGCAACGCCGCGUGAAGGAUGAAAUCCCUCGGGAUGUAAACUUCGCAAGAACGGGAAGAAUAAGUGGGGGCAAAUACCCUCCAUGAUGACGGUACCGUUUGUAAGCUCCGGCUAACUCCGUGCCAGCAGCCGCGGUAAUACGGGGGGAGCAAGCGUUGUUCGGAUUUACUGGGCGUAAAGGGCGCGUAGGCGGUCAGUGCAAGUCAGUUGUGAAAUCUCCGGGCUUAACUCGGAAAGGUCAACUGAUACUGCUCGACUAGAGUGCGGAAGGGGCAACUGGAAUUCUUGGUGUAGCGGUGAAAUGCGUAGAUAUCAAGAGGAACACCUGCGGCGAAGGCGGGUUGCUGGGCCGACACUGACGCUGAAGCGCGAAAGCUAGGGGAGCGAACGGGAUUAGAUACCCCGGUAGUCCUAGCCUUAAACGAUGAAUGCUUGGUGUCUGGGGUUAUAAAGUCCCCGGGUGCCGUCGCUAACGCUUUAAGCAUUCCGCCUGGGGAGUACGGUCGCAAGACUG
rnacentral:rRNA from 1 species